GCUGGCGUGGCUCAGUGGUUGAGCAUCGGCCUAUGAACCAGGAGGUCACGGUUCGAUUCCGUGGUCAGGG
rnacentral:tRNA from 1 species